GUUCCCCUCCCUCCGUCCCCUCCCCCCCUUACUCCUUUCUCUUCCAUUGGCUUACAGUAUACACCUAUCUCCCAAGCAUCAGCAAUAUCUCCAUCGGUCUACGCGGUACGCAGCGCUACUUCGGAGCAAAACAUGGCAUUUUUGCGCACCGAAGAACCGCUCUCCGCCACUGCGUACCUAUGCGGCUUUCUGUUGAUCACCUCGGCCUGGGUGGUCGUUCCGGGACCAGUGCGCUGUGACAGCGGGGGUUUAAACCGGCGCGGCGUGGAGGACCGUACGUUUGACAUGGGCGGCGGAGACAGAGGAUCCUUGUCGGGCUUAGUAACGGAUGGGGACGAGCAAGCCGUCGGGGAAGAGAGCUCACGCCGCUUCAGGAGAGAGCUGUCCCGGGAAACACAAAUGACCCUGCUCAGCAGCUCGUUCGUGCUCAAAGGGGAUGCAACACACAACCAGGCGAUGGUCCACUGGACAGGAGAGAACAGCAGCGUAAUCCUGAUCCUGACCAAGUACUAUCAUGCUGACUCCACCAAAGUGCUGGAGAGCUCACUGUGGAGGUCUGCUGACUAUGGCACCACCUACACCAAACUCAACCUGAUGCCAGGGACAACUAUUGUGGUGACAAGCUUUUAUAUCUGCCCAAACAACAAAAAAAAGGUAGUGCUGGUAGGUUCAUCAACAAAUGAAAGGGAUCAGAUGCUGUUUAUCAGCACAGACGAAGGUCUCUCUUUCCAGCGGCUGUCCAUCUCCUUCACGCCGGACACUCUCAUCUUCCACCCUAAGGAAGAAGACAAGCUCUUGGCCUACUGUAAAGCUGGCAGGCUCUUUGCUUCGAUAGACCUGGGCCGGAAGUGGACUUUGCUUCAGGAGCGGGUGAACAAGGACAAAUUCUUCUGGUCAGUAUCUGACGUGGACAUGGAUCCUGAUCUGGUGCACAUGGAAAUGCAAGACACAAGUGGAGGAUACCUGUACGUUACCUGUCUCAUCCAAAACUGUUCAGACAAAAUGGUUAAGGCUCAGUUUCUUGGAAAAAUAGACCACAACUCACUGCUGGUGAAGGACGACUACAUAUUUGUUAAGGUCACGACAGGUAAUCCUACAAAGCACUUUGUGUCCUAUCGACGCAACGAGUUUGUCCAGAUGAGGUUUCCCAAGUUUGCCUUGCCAAAGGAUGUUCAGAUAGUGAGUACAGAUGGGAACCAGGUCUUCCUCGCCCUCCAGGAGUGGUACCAGUCAGACACAUAUAACUUGUACCAGUCUGAUCCCCAGGGCAUCUACUACUCCAUUGUCUUGGAAAAUGUUCGCAGCACCAAGCAGCCAGAGGAGAAUGUCCUCAUCGAUAUACUUGAGGUGCGUGGAAUAAAGGGAGUCUUUCUAGCUAAUCAGAAGAUUGAUGGCAAAGUAACAACUCUCAUCACCUAUAACAAAGGACAAAAGUGGGAACCGUUGGUCCCACCUACGACUGACAUGAAUGGCAAGCCAAUCAGCUGCAAAGCACCGGACUGUCACCUUCACCUCCACCUUCGCUGGGCAGACAACCCGUAUGUGUCUGGGACAGUCCACACCAAAGAUUCUGCUCCAGGUCUCAUCAUGGGUGCAGGUAACCUUGGCUCCAAGCUCGUAGAGUAUAAGGAGGAGAUGUACAUUACUUCAGACUGCGGAAAGACAUGGAGACAGGUUUUUGAGGAAGAGCAUCACAUUCUGUACCUGGACCAUGGUGGGGUCAUUGUUGCCAUCAAGGACACCUCUAUUCCUCUCAAGAUACUCAAGUUUAGUAUUGAUGAAGGACGGACGUGGACCAUUCACAACUUCACCAGCACCUCUGUGUUUGUCGAUGGACUCCUCAGUGAGCCAGGAGAUGAGACCCUGGUUAUGACUGUGUUUGGGCACAUAAGCUACAGGUCAGACUGGGAGUUGGUCAAAGUGGACUUCAGGCAGUCUUUCUCCCAUCAGUGUACAGAGUCUGACUAUGAGCUCUGGAAACUCACUGACCUGCAGGGAGAGAAGUGCAUUAUGGGCCUGGAGCGAAGUUUCAGGAAAAGGAAGGACACAGCGUUCUGUGUCAAAGGAAAGAGCUACACAUCAGCCCUUGACACCAAACCAUGUCAAUGCACAGAUAGAGACUUCAACUGUGACUAUGGUUUUGAACGGUCCCCAACGGAAGGCAAUCACUGCUUGGCUGACUUCUGGCAUGAUCCAGAUUCACCACCUGAGGACUGCCAUCUAAGACAAACCUAUACGCCCAGCACUGGCUACAGGAAGGUGGUAUCUAACAUGUGUGAAGGAGGGCUUAACAAGCAGCACAGUAUCAAACACCACAGCUGCCCUCUGUUGCCCCCAAAAGGACUCCGGGUCAGCAUUAAAGGUCAGAUGAUGGCUGUUGCUCCUGGAGAUGACAUCACAUUCAUUGUCCACCAGGAAGAGGGCGACACCAGCAGCACUCGGUACCAGGUGGACCUCGGCGAUGGGGUCUGGGCCAUCUACCAAAACCUCACAGUGACCGAUGAGCCCAUCCAACAUCGUUACAAAAAUCCAGGCAUUUACAAGGUCACUGUGAAGGCAGAGAACAUGGCAGGCCAAGAUGAGGCCACCAUGUUCAUCCAGGUCACAGCUCCCCUGCAGGAAGUGCACCUGGAGGUGGUACCCAUCACUGGGAGAAACCAUGAGGUUAAUCUGACAGCAAUAGUCAUCCCUACUGAGGCCAACCUGUCUGUCUUCUACUGGUGGAUUGGAGAUAACCAGAGGCCUACCCUGACUCUGCAGAACAGCCUAUGGACCCGUUUCCCAGAGACAGGCGAAGUUUCAGUCACUGUCCAAGCUUCUAAUAGCCGGUCUAUGGUACAGGAUACCAGGACAGUUCGAGUCUACGAUAACUUCCAGGUCAUCCCUCUGAGUUUCAGCACAAGCCUGGACAACUUCAACCCCAACAUUCCAGAUUGGAGAGAGGACAUUGGCCAGUUGGUCACCAAAAUACUCGUUAAGACCACAGGUAUUCCUUUGGAGUCCCUGGUCACGGUUGUGAAGCCAGGCCUCCCCACGACUGCUGACUUGUAUGUCCUGCCACUGGACAGGGAACCAGCUAAAAUGAACAUGUUUACAGAUAAGCGUAUUCCAGCCAUCAUACAAGCCUUCAACGGCAACAAUGUCAGCUUUGUUGUGCGUGGAGGUUUACGAGUGCUGGUGAUGCUAGCUGACCCAAACGCAGGCUACCAUGCAACAUUUGGAAGUCCAGGUUUUUGGGCCCUAGCAGUGACUUUUGCAAUCAGCAUCAUUGCCACCGGUUCCAUCAUCCUUUACAAGUUCAAAAGUCCUUGGCUUUGGACUGAGGAUUCCUUUCCCCUGCUGUUUUUCAGAAAGCUCCCGGGUAGCCGCAACGUUUACGCUCAGAUGCACAACGAGAAGGAGCAGGAGAUGACCAGCCCUGUUAAUCACAGUGAGGCCACCCAGAAUAUCAUCCAGGGUGAGGAGUUCAUUGACGAUGACCUGGACUCGCAGACUCUAGGUAGGAGGUGGCACCGCCUUCCGUACCCUUUUAAGGACCUCCACUAACCACUGCUACUAAAACCCCAAUCACUAACAGCAGAAGCCAACACACACUAAGGUAGUCAUUCCGGUGUUGUCCUGAGCAUUAACUCCAGAGAACUACACAGUUACUUGACCAGCUGAUGGCUGCCAUGGCAAUGCUAACGAGCUAGACUAGCAGAGUUGGCGAACAGACAUAGGACUCCCCUCAGCCUUCCUCUUUCUCUCUCCUCUACUUCUUCCUUUUUACCUCCACACCAUGGCCUCCAGAACCCUUCACCUCCAGCUAUAACGUGAUUUUGUUUUGUUUUUUAUUUUUGAGGUGGAGGCUUGUUGCAGAAUGUGAAGGUAUUGAUGGCAACACACACUUGUGACACUCUCUUAUCUGUGAUUUGAAAAGAAAAAAAAUCUGUGUGUACGAUCUAUCACUUGCAGACAGUCAACAACUGUGACUAACUACACUGGUUUCCAGUAAUAUCAACAGUCCCAGAGGCUAGAGCCACCCAAUACCAAGAGGUCAUUGCUACUGAAAUUGGGUAGUGGAGGUAGUGCACUACGAUAAUUUUUCAAGCAUUAAGAGUAGUAUGCAUAAAAUAGUGAAUAUUAGAAAAAAACAUCUUUAACUUAUUUCUUGUUCUAUUCUCUUUGCGUUGCAAUAAUGGUCUCCAAACGGAAGGAUACGCUGGACAAUUUGCAUAUGACAGUGUUAGCAUGAAAACACUAGAUGGCAUUGUUGCACUUAAAGUCACAGUUUCUCUGGAAUAUACUGUAUGUUCACAGAGCAAUGUUCCUUUUUUAUCCUACAGCGUUUGUGUUCUUGUACUGUUUAUCACUCACAUUUCUAGAGGUUUCUAAGUGAACUUCAGAGACAAAAACCUUUUUGAUGGAGCUCAUCGUCUGGCCCAUGGUGCUUAAAAUUCAGAAAAGAAUGAUCUACACAGUAAUACUUCCAGUUGUCAAGAUGAUUCAUUUCUAAUUAGACCAUGUCCCUUCAUCGUACUGCCCAAAACGUUCUGGGUCAGAGGUCAAAAUGGACUCUCCUGGACCCAAAUGCCCUUUUGUAGGGAUGUCUAGCUCAUGUAUUUAACUGUAUCAGCCUAUAUUAGGCAAAGUGCCCGCUUUAAGGUUUGGUUUGUUGUAUCUACAGGUUAAAAUAAUAACAAUCUCUACUUUGUCCAUGUUCCCUUUGACAUGAGUAUGAGUAUGAGUGUUUUAAACUACUACCAAAAUGCAUUUUGAAUCAAAUAUGUUUGCUCCGUUCCCUUUCCAUUGUAGCAUGUAUCCAUUCAUAUAAUUUCUUUAGAAAGUUACAUACAAGAUCAUUUUAUGGUCUUAACUGGUUAACUGGAAAUCAUUUCUCUUAAAGACUCACACAGUGACUGUUUAUGCAUAUAUUUGAUACACAAGUUUAUUCAGUUAAUGUAAACAUUGGUUAUUGUUUUUGAUGAAGUGUUUUUCUUUGUCUGAUUAUGCUACGAUGUAAGAAUACUGUCGAUAUGAACCAAACAAAACAUCUUAAAAAGUCCACAGACUCUCAAUCAAAAGUUUCUUGCUGUAAAGGUCUUAAGAUUACUAAUGCUACCUUUGACACCAAUAUCAUUUUUUGUUAUACAUACAGUAGAUCACUUACUUCACUUGUUCUGAUUUAAAAUGUUUGUACAUAUUCUGUUUAUGUUCUUAGUUUGGUUGUGAUGAUUGGUCAUUUAUUACUGCCCCUAAAUUGAACAAAGGGGACGUUGAAUAACAAGAACUUCUAUCUUCUAUCUUAGCCUCACCAUCAUUAAUUUCCUUUCUUUCGGGUUUGUCUGAUGUUUUGAUUUUCUCAUUAAAAUAAUUGUUUGUCCUCAUCGGGAGGCAUAUUGCACUCUACCUGCCUCCUGGGAAUAAUCA